rnacentral:rRNA from 1 species
UACGUAGGUGGCAAGCGUUAUCCGGAAUUACUGGGCGUAAAGGGUGCGUAGGUGGUUUCUUAAGUCAGAGGUGAAAGGCUACGGCUCAACCGUAGUAAGCCUUUGAAACUGGGAAACUUGAGUGCAGGAGAGGAGAGUGGAAUUCCUAGUGUAGCGGUAAAAUGCGUAGAGAUCAGGAGGAACACCAGUGGCGAAGGCGGCUAUCUGAACAGUAACUGACGCUGAGGCGCGAAAGCGUGGGGAGCAAACAGGAUUAGAUACCCGGGUAGUCCCUGAGCGGG